UUAUUGUUCCUUACGAAUCGACCUGACUCUUUUUACGCCUAGCUCUGAAUUCAAAUUUACUUACCAACAUUAACCUCGUCGAUCUAAUGUGGAUUGCGUUGCGGCUGUUGCGAACGAACAGAGCAUGGCACACGGAGCCUCGCGCGUUUUAUAGUUCUCCCGACUUUUUAAAUCCUAUCCUGAGAAAGAUAGGGAGUUUUCCCCUAGAAAAAUCAUGAUGGCAAGAAGAGAUGAACCGUAGUGCGUGUUACUACUUCUCGAGUAACUUAAGCUUGACGAGUUUCGAGACACCUACUCGGAUAAAUGAUGACGAGAAAGUGUGAGGCAACAUUCAGAGUGAGAUUUUGCGAGAUUUAGCAAUCUUUCUGCUGGCUGUUCAACGAUGUAAUUGUCGAAAAAAAAUUAGGAUUAAAGUAGGAGUUUCGUAAUCAAGCCUUGUACAAUAAAUAAUUAUACUUGAUUUUAAUAAAAAUUUUAAAAUUU
rnacentral:lncRNA from 13 species